rnacentral:lncRNA from 1 species
GCAAUGGCAAACCAGAAUAUCCACGCUUCGGCCUGCGUGGCAAACCAAUAUGUCAUGAUUCGACUCGUGACUGGCAAUCCAUAACAUGUCUAGGCCAAAUUUUUUUUGUUCAUAAAUCAAAUCAUUCAAUUUCAUCCAUACCAAAAAAAUUAUAAUUUUAUAUUUAUUUCAUGCCCAAAUUUGAAAAUAAUCAGCAUCAAAUCCCAAACAGUCAAAAUCAUUAACCAAGCAGCCAUAGUGACCAAUAUUUGAUAUGUCUAUAUAAUAACAAAAUAUGUAUUUAAGUUUUCAUAUCAAAAGCCAAUAAGCAAUCAUACAAAAAAUAAUGCAAAUCCCAAAAUCAUCGGCGCAUGUUACAAAAUAUAUAUUAUCCAUAUAGGUGAUUGUGUAAAGGACUUCUUACAUUUAUCAAUGACAAACUCAAAUACUGAAUACACCGAACCUCUUCUCGAUCUACCAACUCGAAAGCAUAGUAUUCUGCUCAACAUCUUCUUGCCCAAGCGAUUGCUCAUAUCUCACCUUUGGAAUAGUCAUAACUAUCCAUAUAAGAUUAUGGUAGAUGAUCGUAACAAGAUUAGCUCGAACCCUCUGAUAGGGCCGCGUAACACCUACCGGGAACUUUUUGGUUUGCAAUUCCGGCUUGGAAUCCUGGUCGUACAAUGCUGGCACGGACCCCUCCUAGGGUGUGCUUGAAUUCACAAAGUUUCUCGACCCACCAUUGGUCCGCUAAAAUAUGUAGGGAGAGAAAUACAGAAGAGUGCAUGGAAUGACAAUGAAGAGAGGGAAAGAGAGAAGAGGGAAGACAGAAGUCUCUUUUCUUCUUCCUCAAAUCAGGAAAGACUCCCUCUCCCUCUACUUCUCAACCCAAACAACGAAAGGGAUGGUGGACGAUGACCCACAGCGACAUCCGGCCGCAAGGCACCGGCGGGGCUGGCGAGCGCAUGGGAGAAAAAUAAAGAAAAACAGAGGAGAAGUCGGAACAAGGGAAAACUUUGUUUGACCAAAUCUGGCGGUCAAUCGUCCGUAAUCCAACCUACAGCAGCAGCGGCUCCGGCCCUCGUUAACCUGAGCAUUGCUUCCGGCGACGGCGGCAGGACCAGUGGACGAAAAGGAGAAGAAAAGAAAAACAGGGGAGAGGAACAUGGAACAUAGCAGCCAGCUUCCAAUUAAAUCUGGCAACUCGCUGGAGCAAUUCCUAGUGACGAUGAAGACAACGGAACUAGGACAAGAUGGAAGAAGGGUUUUGAGGUUAAUCACCUCUUCGCCGGCAAUAUACGGACAGUAACUUGCCGAGAAAUGUCAACGGAAAAUCAAGGAGAACUGGACGCUAUUUGCAGGCAGUUGAUAGAGGUUUGACGGCGAGAUUGUUAGAAGGAAG